rnacentral:siRNA from 1 species
ACAAGAUAUUCUAAAGUAAAGACU